rnacentral:rRNA from 1 species
UGCUAAUACCGUAUAACAAUCGAAACCGCAUGGUUUCGAUUUGAAAGGCGCUUUUGCGUCACUGAUGGAUGGACCCGCGGUGCAUUAGCUAGUUGGUGAGGUAACGGCUCACCAAGGCAACGAUGCAUAGCCGACCUGAGAGGGUGAUCGGCCACAUUGGGACUGAGACACGGCCCAAACUCCUACGGGAGGCAGCAUG